UACGUAGGGGGCGAGCGUUGUCCGGAUUUAUUGGGCGUAAAGAGCUCGUAGGCGGUUUGGUAAGUUGGAUGUGAAAUCUCCAGGCUCAACUUGGAGGGGUCAUUCGAUACUGCCAUGACUAGAGUUCGGUAGGGGAGUGUGGAAUUCCUGGUGGAGCGGUGAAAUGCGCAGAUAUCAGGAGGAACACCCGUAGCGAAGGCGGCAUUCUGGGCCGGAACUGACGCUGAGGAGCGAAAGCGUGGGGAGCGAACAGG
rnacentral:rRNA from 1 species